GGACCCACACUUGUGGACCUCGAGGGAUGCCUAACACCUUCCCCACGAGGUAAUUUGAAUCCUUACCCGAUCUCUGGUUCGUUGACCUUAGUUAGCUUUAGUUAGGUUAGAUAUGUGCCCUAACGCGCCUUAAUUCGUUAGGUGGCGACUCUUCAAUCAAAUUAAAGACCAAAAGAUUUGUUAGGUCGAAAGUCCAUUUUUGCGAAAAAAUGAGGCGCAACAGAAUGUCGACUCUGCUGGGGACUUUAGGUUCUAUCCAUUACGUGUUUCAUGCUUAUGAGGGGUUUACUUUAUUUGGUCAUGUCAUUGUUUGUUUGGUUAUUAGCAUAUUAAGUUGUUAUUAGUUUUUCUUGUUUAUUUGUUUCCUUAUUUAUUGCGUAUUUUCCAUGUUCCACGUCUUUCCCUCUUCCUUAUGUGUUUAUUUCCAUGUUUUGCCCUUUCCCUCUCCCCUUAUUUGUUUACUGGCAUGCUUAAUCACAUACCCCAUUUCCUUAUUUGCUUGAUCCUCUAAUUUGUUUAUCUGUUUACUUCUUUGGAUUUAUGCAUGUAUUGAUCUAUUUAUUGCUUUCCUUAAACUGUUUAUCUGUUACCGCUUUUCAUCUACAUGCUAAUUGUUACUGCAUUGAUAAACUGUCAUUUCGCUCAUACUUCCCCCAAUUGGGACCCUCUUCCUUUUUUUUUAUUUCUUAUCGUGAUGUUGUGCCUUUGCACCUCUCACAGCUACUCCAUUUCUCUUCAAACACCUAAUUAUAGAGUGUCGACAUAUGCGUGGACGGAACAAAUAGUUUUACUACCGGGAAACCACGAGCCUUCUCGCAUAGAACCUCUUCAAGUCCGUGUCAAGCCAACUCUUAGAAAUCUUACUUAGGUCAUACAUGUUGCAUAAACCCUAGGUGGUUUGACUCUUGGUGUCAAUCCGCAUAAUUAGUAGCCACCCUAUCGUCUAAAAAGCCCCAACACCCUUUAGACAAAUUGCAUAAUUAUGUGUCAAUGUGAUCACGAUUAUUAAAUUAAACCAAACUUUGCCAAAAUGGAGUUUAGAAUUUGUAUGUUGUUUUGUUUGCAGAGUCAUGGAUGCGUUCCUCACCCCAAACCCUCAAAUGGUCGUAGAUAUAAACUACAAGCUAAGGAAUUGGUGGAUUGAUAUUAAGAGAGACCGUGAAAGAGAAAUCCGUCAAUUGUUGGGCGGGCUUACCUACCUCAUCUUUGUCAUUCCAAACCCUCACUUGAUUAGGGCUUUGCUAGAAUUUUGGAACCCUGUGAAGAUGGUCUUCAAAUUCGUGGAUUUCGACUUGGCGCCAACGAUUGAGGAGAUAAGUGGUUUCAUCGACCUGCCAUACCAUGAGUGUGAAAUGAUAGUACCAUAUAAGCCAUCAUCGAGGGAGUUUCUAAAAAGUCUGGGAAUGAAGUCAAAUCUAACCUUGCCAUCUUUAGACCUUGGGUGGAUUCAUUUCGACUUUCUAUAUUUAUGUUUUGGCCGAGAGGAUAUUUAUUACUCUUUUAGUGAUGAGUUUGAGUGCUCCGUCGAGGAAUGGGAAACAUAUCGUCUAAAUGCCUUUGCCAUUGCCCUAUUAGGAUCCCUAGUUUUUCCUAAGAUAAGGGAAAGGAUUGACACACGCUUGGGUUAUGUGGUCCGAGAUUUAGCUCAAAGAGAGGGCGAACCUAGGAAAACUAUAGUGCCCAUAAUCUUGGCGGAAAUAAUGAGAAGUCUGUCGGCAUGCGUCAACGGCAGAAUGUUUUUCGAAGGAUGUAACCUUUUGCUGCAAUUAUGGGCUAUUGAACACUUCUACCUAUGGUCUGACGCGGUAGACAUGUUUCUUGGUUAUCGCAACAAGAUUGAUAAUCACCCAAGAAGAAUGGUAGCUUUCACCGGCCCUGUAGGAUUUGUAGACUGGCAGAUAUUUUUGAUAGAGCUCGAGAGCUGCUGCAUCCAAUGGAAGCUUCAUUGGUUGUCCACCCCUCAUGCAAUAGUAAGAGGCGAUGACCGAUACUUCAUUGAGCUUAUUGGAUUAAAGGGCGUUCAACCAUACACUCCUCUUCGAGUACUUCGCCAAUUUGGGCGAACUUAAGUAAUACCACUCCGGUCUGACAUGGAACAGUUUAAGUAUGAAUUUGGGUUGGAUAAACCACAAGUCCACAACAUACUUCGAAGAUGGGAGCGGGUGUUGACCAUUCUUAUGGGUGCACGGCAAGCCUUAUGUACACGUGAGUAUUACAUAUGAAUCCUAAAAGAGGUUAAAGACAGAGAAUUGAGUGGGGAAGGAUACUAUAGGCUCACUGAUGAAAGGGAAAACAUAUGGGCACAUAACGUGUUGAAGAUCGGGAUUGAAGUCAUUCCCUAUACAAGAAGUCAAUUGGCGCCAAGCUCUUGGAACCUAUAUCUUCAAGAUUUCAGAAUUUAGGAUGGCUUUCCCAUUGUUACCCCUUGCCCUUAGUUUAUUUUCAGUUUUUGUUUUUCAAUUAUGAUGUAUUGGUCGAAUUUUAUAAUAAAUAAAGUUUGUUUAUUUCCUCUAAUCUAAACUCCAAAUUGGCAAAGAAGGCUUGAAUUAAUUAUUGUGCAUCACUUAUAUGUCGUCUUAGGCCUACCUCUGGAACAACGAUAGUCCUUGCAUUUAGGGCGUUUAUCUUAAAACAAUGUGUUUGUUAGCUCAAUUUAUGCAACGCUCUAACUUGGGUGUUGUUUUGCUUUUACUUUUGUUUUACCCUUCCCCAAUGGUUGAUCUGUAGACCAUGGUUUACUACACGCGAUCAAAGGACACUCUUCCUUCUCUUCCAAAUGAGAACCGCAAAGGGAAUAGGAAAGCGACUAAUGAGAAGUUUAUGAGUAAGACUAUUGAAAAGAAGGAUCCUUCAGACAAGUUGGUCUCAAGCCUGCAAAAGAAACUAAUGGAAUUAGAAGAAGAAGUGUCUGAUAUGCGCGGUUGGUCCAAGUUGUUACUCUCUGUCGAUCCCACUCUGGAGACAAACAUAGAUAAGCCGCCUAUCACAAGUCAAGCCACUCUCGAAGAUAAUCCUCCACCCACUCACCCUACACCAACUUACCCCACUUCUCAAAAUCAACCAAGCUCUAUUCAAAUGCCUCCAAGGAACACUCACUUUCCAAAUUACCCAUAUCCUCCUCAACAUCAUGCUUAUGCUUCUAGACCUCCAUAUCUUACUCCAAGUCUGCCGAGUCCUCCCUUACAAGCUCCUCAAUAUCAAACACCUCUACCCCAAGUCCCUUGGUAUUGUGCGCCGCUCAUACCAUAUCAAAUUCCUUCAUAUCAAACGCCUACAUAUCAAAAACCUACUUAUCCUAUUCACAAUGUCAAAACCCUCACUCAAAAACAUAUUCGCAAACAUCUAUUUAAUGUUGAGAAAAGGCCCAUCAAAAUUUACACUCUUUUGACUCAGCCUAUAGAUCAAUUCUAUGAAAAGUUGAGGUUUGCUGGUCACAUCGCUCCUAUCAGUGGAAUAGGGAUGAAUACACGUGCAAGGUGGAUGGAACCCUCUAAGGUUUGCGCUUAUCACUCAGGGAUGAAAGGACAUACCAUAGAAGAAUGUCAUGAUCUGAAAAACAAGAUUCAGCAUUUGAUUGAUACCAAGAUCAUAUGCUUGGAGGACUUCGCGCCAACGGAAUCCCAACAGUGAACAUGUUGAAGCUCAAUUGAAGCAGUUUCCAAUAAGAGGUUUGCGUUUUUUAAGUUUAUGUUUUCUACAUUCAGGUACCCAUAGUAACAUAUGGGAAAUAAGUUGGUCAGAAUCUAUCAUUCAGUUACUACUCAAGAAGGUUCUUUUAAAUGUCUUGCUUAUGCUCUUUGUAAUUUGGGAACUACGCAGACCUGAUUCCCGUUUAAGAGGGGAUGCGUAGGCGCUCCUAUUGUAGUUCGGUCUUAUCCUAAUUAAAAUUCCAUUUUCCCCUUUUGAUUGUGUAACUGGGGCAGAAUUUUUGAGACUCAAUUUUUGAGAGAGUCUCAAAAAUUCCAUUAGAAGAACAUUUUUCUUACAAGUGAUGAUACUGGGGCAGAAUUUUCGAGAGGAACUCAAAAAUUCCUUCAAAAGCAUUUCUUCUCGCAAAUCAGUAAUUGAGGCAGAAUUUUUGAGAGGGUCUCAAAAAUUCCUUCGAAGGCAUAUUUUCAACACAAAUCAAGACUGGGACAGAUUUUUUUUGAGAGGAUCUCAAAAAAUUCACAACAAAUCAAGCUACAAUCUGCAACGAAGAUCAGAAUAAUAAAAGUUCUAUACUGGGGCAGAAAAUUUUGAGGGAACCUCAAAAUUUUGACAACAUCGCAAAGAUCGACCGUCGAGCAGACAUCAAAGGAAUACAUUGUGCCAAAUCAGGGACACAGAUCAAACUCCCCUUUAACUAACUAUUUUUCUUUGAAUGCAGAAAAGACAGGUACAUAUACAAGAAGCAACUUCAACAUCGCUUGAAGGAUCAACACACCACUAUUUUGAGCCUGACAAAUCGGCAGUAAAUGGCACCCCAUCAUUCUAAUCAGACGGAAGGAGCAAGCCACUUUACGUCAAUCCAGAAUAAUCGCCAGUCAACGGCCUCCUGUCUUUACUAUAGGAUGGAAGUUCAAGCACAAUACUCUGAGCUCAAGAAUCGCCAACAAAUGGCACACUAUCCUUUCAACGAGCCAAGGGCCAAACUAUUGAGCCCAAGUCACUAGUCAUAUGACACACUAUCCUUCCGAUAGGAUGAAGCAUCAAGCUAUUAUAUAUUGAACCCGACAAUCGCUAUUCAACGGCAACCUUUCCUUACUAUAGGACGGAGGGUCAAGCUACAACACUCUGAACUGAAGAUUCACCAACAAAUGACAAUCGACACUUCCAAUAAGAAAAAGGUCCGAGAUACUUAUGCCCUCAAUCAACUACUUUGCAUUUGUGCCCAAGGAUUGCAUUAUUGCAUAUGCCCUAGAUUGCAUUGUGCCCGAGAUUGCAGGUGCCCAAGAUUGCAUUGUGCCCGAAAAUUGCAUGUGCCCGAGAUUACAUGUGCCCGAAACUGCAUUCUGCCAGAAAAUUGCAUAUGCCCGAGGAUUGCGUUAUUACAUGUGCCCGAGAUUAGAUUGUGCCCGAGAUUGCAUGUGCCCAAAACUGCAUUGUGCCCAAAAAUUGCAUGUGCCCGAGGAUUGCAUUAUUACAUGUGCCCGAGAAUGCAUUAUCCGCGAAAUUGCAUUGUGCAAGAAUUACAUUAUGCCCGAGAAUUGCAUUGUGCCUGAGAUUGCAUUAUGCUCGAUAUUGCAUGUGCCCGUUGUUACAUGCUGCCCGAUAUUGCAUUUGUGCUCGAGAUUGUAUUUGUGCCCGAAGAUUGCAUGUGCCCGAAUUACAUUAUGCCCGAUGAUUGCAUAUGACCGAAGAUUGCAUUGUGCUAGAAUAUUACAUGUGCCCGAAGAUUGCAUGUGCCCGAAUUGCAUUGUGCCGGAAGACUGCAUGAGCCCAAGAUCGCAUUGUGCCCGAGAACUACGUGUGCGCGAAUACAUCUGUACAGAUUCACUACUGAAUCAAGCCACAAGAUGCUCAAAUUACAUCAAAACAUAUACGCUCUCUUUACUCCUUACUUAUGUUCCGAAGGCGUCAUGAUCUAAAGGCAACCUUCAUGGCCUGCGGACAUCAUAUCAUGGCCUAAGGAUUUAAUUUUUGUUUAUCAUGAUCCAAAGGCAUCAUUUUUCAUGGCCCGCAGACAACAUUUGCAUGACCUGAGGAUAUAUAUUUUUGCGUAUCAUGGCCCUAGACAUCAUAGCCAAAGACAUCAUUUUCAUAGUCUUAAGGCAAACAUCAUGGUCGAUAUGGGAAAUUGCAUCAUGUUUACUUUUAGCAUUUGUUUAAAAUAUUUGCUCUAAUCAUAUUACAAGCUACGGAUUUGCAGAGACUAACAUUUUGCAGAUAGGAUAUUUUUCACCUUUCAGCUACAAUUAUCGUGCUUAUAUCUACCGCAACAAAUUCCCUAUCAAUUUCUUUGCUACUCGUAUUACUGUUUUCAUUUAACCCUUAGCUAUUCAUACUUACUGCUUUUCACUCAAUCCUUGCUUAAGCUGGAAGUCUCUAUGUCAUGCUCUUCUCGCUACUCUAAUCCUAUCCAUUCAAGCCAAUAUCGUUCCCAUUCGAAUACCGUACCGCUCUUUCAAUUUUUAGGAGUUUCGUUUGCUCCUGAAUCUAGAACUACACACGACCUGAUUCUCGUAUAACCAGAGAUAUGUAGGUCACUUAAUACCAAAGUCUCGGUCGUACCCCUCUUCAACCUUAUAUCAUUUCAAUUGAUCCCACUGACAUUUCUCGUCGGUCGGACAAAAUCGGCUACUAAGUCAGCGUUGGUUACCCGACAAUUCAUCUUUCAUUGUCAAACAACCAAGGAGAAGCUGUUGACACCCAAUUUUGACCGACCUUUAGCAAUUUCGGGAAUGCUAUUCGAUUAGAUAUGUAUUUUUUUAAAAUAUUUUGAGUUUAAAAUUUUAAUUGAUUUUGUCUAAAAACGAUAUAUUUAGUAUGCAUGCUUUAUAAAAAUUAUUGUAAAUACUAUUAAAAUAUUUUUAAAAUUAUUAGUAAAACUCGAAAUAAUUCAAAUGUCUUAAAAAUUUAAGUGACUUUAAUUAUAUAAAAAUAUUAUAAUAUUUGUAGUAUUUUAAUUGAAUAACAUUUCUUAAUUUUCCUCAAAAUCAUUCAAAUUAUAGCCUAUUUUAUUCUAAUUCAUUCCAAUUCUAGCCUAUUCUAUUCUAAUUCAUUUCAAUUCUAGCUACAUCAAUUCAAAUUCUCAUUUCAAAUAUAGCCUUUGUUGAUUUCAAUUUUAGCCUAUUCUUAUUCCAAAAUCAGAUUUAAUUCUCUUUUAAUCUCAACCGUCCAUCCUUUAAGUUAAACCCUAGAUCAAUCCUAGCCGCUCAUCUAAAUUGAUCCAACAGUUAAGAUCAACUCCCUUUUUCUUUCCUAUUUUAAACCUAAAAGGACUCCUAACCCUAUCACUUUUGACUUCAUUCUCUUCCUCUCCUCUCUUUUAGACCGCCACUCCUCCUCCUUUCUUCUCACCAGAUCACCGCCUAUGGCGAGAAGAGCAGCCUCCAGUGAGAGGUAGCGCCGCUCGCUCCCUUCUCCUCUUCCUCUCUUCCUCCCCUCCUCACUCUCCUUUUUCGGAUGAAACAAGCAGCGAAGGUUGCUGUCCGACCAGCAGCUCCAAGACCUAAGCCACCGACGAGCUCCAUGAACACCAACAACAACUGUCAGGCGAGGCCAUGGCGAGCAGAAGCUCCAGCUGGUGAGAACAACCAGCGAGCUUCAGAGCAGCGCCAUAACCAGUGAGACAGCAGCUCCAGCCGGCGAGAAACACCAACAAGGUAGCGGCUCCGGUGAGCCCUACUCCUUUCUUCUCUCUUAUUUAUGGCCAGUAACUCCAGCAGAUGAGCAUGGUGAAAUAAUGAUAAUGGAGUUUGCUUGGACCUCAUCUCUUCGGUUGGUUUUAAGACGAAUCACAACAGAUCCGUCUGGGUUAGUUUCUCUUUUAAAAUUUUACAUUAUAGAUGCUUAAUUUGUCUACUCUUAUGCAUGUUCUAGAUAGAUUUCGUUAUGAGCAUUAAACUAAUCAUGAUUUGCCGAUCUUAUGGACUAUUUCUUGUUGAUUUUCUGAACUCCGGAAGCAUGUGUAUUUUAGCUUUAUCAAAAUGUCAUUAUAUUCUGAUUUGAUAUAAGUUUGAUGUAUGUUUGCUAAGCACUAUUUUGGUGUUGACAUGCCGUUGAAUUUUUAAAUUUUUGUUGAUUCUUGGUUCAAUUUGUUAAGUUUUGAUAUGACAAUUGAUAAAUUCUCUUAGAUUUGGCUGUUCUCCUAUUUAAGUUUGAUUAUUUUUCUUCUGUGAGGAUAUUUUUUUAUGAAUUGAAUUGUGAUCUUUAAUAUCUUCUACUGAUAUAUAAUUAUUGGCAGGUUUUCUUCCUCCUUAUCUAGUUAUGGUAAAAUUUAUUAGAGCAAAUAAGUCUUGUGACUUGAUUUGAGCUGUUAUGAUAUUGUCUUUCCUUAAAUAAUAAAUUGCUCCCUUUCAGCUGAUGAUGUGUUUGUUAGUUAACGUAUUUUAGGUGCCUUAUUCAUGUUUAGACAGAUUGUUACUUGUUUAUAUUUGGUAAAAAAAAAGAUUACUAACAAUCUGAUUUGGCUCUCCUUUGAAAUAAGGAAAAUGUUAUAUUAAUAGAUUCCUUAAAGUAUUUGUUUCCCUUAUUUGUACCCCUCUUCUAAUAUAUAAAUAGGACCCCUCCCUCAUUGCUCACACACUCUCACAUCGGAACAUUUGGCUUACACUCUAAAAAAAAACACUAAAAAAUAUAUUGCUCUCUACUCUAAAAAAAAAAAGAAAAAGAAUUAUGUUUUUCCGGCAAACAUCAAAGCUCCUCUCUACUUGCUAUUUUGCUGUGUUCGGGUCGGUUAUUGGAUUAAGUGUGGAUCUUCAUUGCUAUUUUCUUUUACUGCAUAACUGGUUAGUAUCUUUUAUACAUGUUUAAUUUAUGUUCUGCAUCGCCUUAGUUAUCUUAAGUCAAAAAUUGGGUAUUAAUAAAUAAAAGAAAGCAUCCGGGUCAGUUUUCUUCUCCCCUAUUAUGUGUGAUAUUAUAUUUUGCUUGAAUGAAUUGUUUGUUCGAAUCUGGUGUGUAUUCUCUGAGCUAUUAUGUAAUUAGUUUGUUGUACUAUCCAUUCACUCUUCCACUUUGGUUUAGCAGGCUGAAUUUAUUUCUGGGAGUUUGAAGAGUUGCCUGGGAUGGGUCAUUGGGACAAGAUUUUUUAAAAAUAAUAUUUGUAUUUGCUAUUAUGGUUCUGUAAUAUUUUUUGUUGUAAACUCUAACUUUAUCUAUAUAUAUAUGAAUAACUUGAGGAUCGUCUAAAGGGGAGGAGGGGAAUUACGUGCUAACUGUUUAGUUAUUUACUUCAUUUUAUUUACGUGUGAUUGUUUGAAGGUCUACAUUGGUUGAUCACACAAAGCCUUGUGAGCAUGUUCAAUUAUGUGUCCGUGUAUACUUUGUUAAAUCUGGAAUUCCUUGCCAACGGCUAAAAAUAAAAAUAAAAUUAUGUGGUAAUAUUUGUGCUAUUGUUUACUGCACGCUUAACUAACCAUAUUUAGUAAUUUUAAGCAUGUUGAUAAUUUUGAAAUAAUUAACUCCAAUAACUUACGCAUGUUGAAUCAAAUUAGAAUAAUUUUAGCCCUUUAAUUAGUUAGUGUUUAUAAAACCUUGUUUGUUAAUAUUUUUUUUAGCAUGCUAAUAAAUAUAAAAGAAAGGAAAAUAUGUUGUGUCUGUCUUGAUUGUUAUCUGUUAAUGUGAUUUGUUUAAUUAAUCGCUGAAUUAUUUUACCUAGAGUUCAUUCCUAUAGGUUUUGUCUGAAUAUCAUUAUCAUUUUCAGCAUGUUCUACUUAGAAAUAAUAAUCAUAAGAAUUAUUCUUACUUUACAUGUUUUGGGCUUAGAAAUCAUGUAUAUAGGUUUAAAACUUUGUUACAUAUUAGAUAGACACCAUGCCUAUAGAAUUUAAAUAUCGCUCAAUAUAUCAUUCGUGUGUAGAAAUCAUGCCAUUAGGUUGAAGAUCUUGUUCUUUACUUAGAAAUCAUGUCCAUAGGGCUUAACUAAUAAAAUUGAUGUCUAAAUAAUGUCCGUGUGUUUUAAUAACUCAAGCUUGCCAUUUAAUAAAUCAAAUUCUAAUUAAUUUGCCAAUAAAAUUUUAGCAUAUCAAUCACUUAAGACUGCAUGAUUAUAGGCUUCUAAUAAGCUCUUGAUUGUUUUCUGCUCACUGCUAAUAUUUUCUGCAUUUGUAACAUAUUUUGCCACUUAAAAUAAAUUAACUAGUUGCCAGCAUGUUAUUUAAUAUCUACUCUAUUUGGUUAUUAUCGCAUGUAAUUAAUCAACCAGCAUGUUAAUCUCUUAGAUAGCAUGUAUAUAGGCUUCUACUAAUUUUUAGCAUGUUUUUAAAAUAGAAGUAAAUCUGUUAUGAAUAUUCUCUGCUCAAAAUAGGUAUUUUCUGCAGUAGUAUUAAAAUCUGCUACUGUUUUUUGCAUUUACUACGUGCUUGUCCUGAUUAAAAUCAGCUAUGGAUUAAUUUCUACAUUAAUAAUUAAAACUGCUUCUGUUUUCAAAUAUUUCUGUAUGUGUGAUCACUUUUCUGCUAUAGUUUAAAAUCAAAUAAAAAAAUAUGUUAUGUCACUAAUUUCUACCCCCCUUUAAAAUCAGUUGAACACUAAUUUCUGCAUGAAUACUUGUUCAGUCACUUAAAUUAAUUUUCUGCAUCUGCUACUUGUUCCCCCCGAUUAAAUCUUACUCGAUUAAUUAAGUUGUGCACUGUUUUGCCAAUUAAAAUCAGCUACAAAUUAAUUUCUGCAUUUAAUAAACGGACUGUUAUUUAAAAUAUUUCUUUGCAUUAAUAAUAAAUAUGCCAUUGUUUCUAAAUAAAUUUCUGCAUUUGUAAUCACUUAUCUACCACCUUUAAAAUCAGUCUAAUAAGUUUUUUGCACUUGUAGCGACUUUCUGCUCUCCCUAAUUAAAUAAUUAUGUGGUCAAUACCUAUUUGUAUGUACACACUUAGCAUGAAAUCCUUUCACAUUAGUUCUGUUUGUCAGCAUGUUUAAUUAAAAUCUAGAGGCCAAUAUCAGACCCUAUGUGCUAAAUGCUCGUCUUAUUUGUUUUACUUGGUGUCUAGGUGGGCCUAUUAGGAAUCUUUAUUUUAUUUUAGACUAAAUCCACCCUAAUAGUAGUUCAAUGCCUCUUGGACCUUAAGCGGGGACACUAGGCACCUUUUAGAGAUGAAAAGCAUGCGGUGGUGGGGUAGGGGUAGUUUAGGCCCUACGGAGAUGAUGACAUUGCCUCGAGUCGUAAACGACAAACAUUUGUUUUGUCUGUCCCGAAAUAAAAGGCCGAGCACUGAUUCGUAAAGUCUGUCAGAGUCUCCCCUUCCCUUUUGACUUUUAUGUGUUUUUUAUAAUUAUAAAUAUUUGGGGUAGUUUAAUAACAAUAAAAAAAUUUGAUUCAUUUUUGUCUCCUCGCUCCUCUCUUUAUUAAUUGUUUAACUGUUUAUUAUAUCACCUAGUUUUGCAUGCUUAAUUAUUUAAAUAAUGAAUAACUGAAGUAACCUUAAUUGUUAAAUUUCAUUUAUCACUUAGUGAGCAUGUUUAAGUUAAAUAACCUAAAUAAUGAAGUGACCAUAAUUGCUACUUGUAACCCCCACAUAAAUUGCAUAAGAUACGGCCGGGACCUACACUUGUGGACCUUGAGGGAUGCCUAACACCUUCCCCUCGAGGUAAUUUGAACCCUUACCCGAUCUCUGGUUCGUUGACCUUAGUUAGAUUUAGUUAGGUUAGAUAGGUGCCCUAACGCGCCUUAAUUCGUUAGGUGACGACUCUUCAAUCAAAUCAAAUCAUAUCCCAAAAGAGUUGUUGGGUCGAAAGUCCAUUUUAGUGAAAAAUGGGGCGCGACAAUGGGGAAAUGUAUUAUGAAAAUAAAAAUGUUUCUUAUGCUCUGUAUGACUAUCCUUGGGCAUUUAUGGUACCUAUUAUCAACCAUUUAGUUGAUUUAUGAUAUCCUCUUAUUUAUUUGUGUAGUACGUCACAGACUCUAUUUAUUUGUUUGUUGUUCUAUGGAUUCUUGGAUAUAUAAGGAUUUUUCAUAUCUUGGAAAGUAUGCCUGGAAGUCCUUGGAUACUCUAUUGCCCAUUCCCCGUUUACUCAGAUGGUACACAUCAAAGAGCGAUAAUAUAGUUGAAGGUGAUUCAUUUAAGUACAAAGGAAGAAGUACGAAGGUAUACACUUAUUUUUUAUUAACUAACAAUAUUUUUAAAUAAGUGAACAUUAUGUAAUAUUUAUAUUCUUUUUUUAGAUUGUGUACCCAUACCUUACCCCUACUAUUCGUGAGAUGGAACAGAAUUACAUGACAACAUUUAAGCCAUAUUAAGAUGGAGUGAAGGACAUGGUCAUCAAUGUCUUCAAUACCCAAAUGAAAGGUGUGACCACCCUCACUUCAAGAGUAGAGAGUGUGGAUGAUGAAUAUUUGGGUGUUCACAAUACUAUCCAACCUUGUGUAAUUCUGUUUCUAGUAGACAAAAAAGUGUACCGAGUACUUCUAAUAAUGGAAAUUUGGGAAAUUUGAGUGAUCGUGUUGUAUCCCUUGAGCAAUUAAUGGUGGAAGUUGUUUCUUAUGUACGGAAAGAAAAAUUGAGUAGAAUGGAAAAGAAUAAAAAAAAAACA
rnacentral:lncRNA from 1 species